GUAACCCUUUUGUUCAUUUCAAAAUUCUUCACCGCAAUUGUCCUUUGAUAACUGGGUUACCAGAUGGCUGGCAUUUUUUUUUUUUGGCGGGGGUAAUUAUUUUGGGGGGGAAACAAAUCAUUGUAUUGAGAUGUAAAGUACCUAUUUGUGGUUAUGCACAUCCUUUCCCUUGGAACCCUGGAAAGAAAAUCCUUUAAGGAAUAAUCUGUUUUGUCUAGGGAUGUGGAUAGUGUGCAUAUCCUGCUUAUGGUUCCCUUGUAACAGAUCAUCCAAAAUAUUUUUACUAAGUGGUAAGGUUUCCAUUUACUAUUUUCUUAGGUACCGGAUGACACAGGUAUUAUUCAGCAAUGCAAAGCAGUUCCCGGGAUUUAAUUAUUACAUUGUACGUUAUUAGGGUGAUCAAGUACAUAUUUGCAGCAUUGCAAUUUCUUCUGGUGCUUUUUUUGUUUGUUUGUUUGUUUGUUUUUAGCUGCACGUUUUCUGUUGGGAGUAGUUUCGGGAAGAUAUAAAUUUUAAUAUCCUUCGAUCUGUUAUUUUCUGUACGUUUCUAGUUAAUGCCUCGCUUAUUGAAGACCUCUCUAACACCAACAAAGCAUUGGAUUUUAUGACGACAUGACUGGGGCUCUGUUCUUAUGAGCAAAUAAUGUGAAUACAAAUCAUAAUCUUAUUUUACAUUUGGGGAUCAGACCUUAUAAUUCCAAGAAUUAAAAGAAGAACAAAAAGCAUCUUUGAUCGUGACUUAUUUGAAAGGCGUUUUUUAAAGCCAACUAAAACACCUGCUUGGAAAAGGACUGAAAUGCGUUCAAACUGAAGCCUGUUUAGAAUCUGAUAUGGAAAUCUGAAGCCUGUUUAUAAAUUAGGCUUCUACAAGUGCUUCUUGAAUUGAGUCAGUAGGGUCGAUGUCUUCAUUUUGACACCACCUUUGCUUGUAGAUGGAAUUUAUUUUCAUGGUGAAAAUCACGACUGAUUUACAAGGAAACUCACAGAAGAUAGCACAAAGCAGUAGUGAAGCUGAACAGUGAUUUUUCAGUUGCCAGAGAGCCCACAAAAUAGUUGCUGUUUUUAAUUUGGAUUCUUAGGAGAGUUUACUCGACAGUAACUGGGGAAAAAAAACUUCCCAUAUAUCAUUAUUUUUUAAAAGAAAUGGUACUUUUAAAACUCGAAUCUUAAAUUGAUGUUGAAAAUAAAUUUUUUUUUCAACUCAACAUAA